rnacentral:rRNA from 1 species
UUGACCUCAAAUCAGGUAGGACUACCCGCUGAACUUAAGCAUAUCAAUAAGCGGAGGAAAAGAAACUAACAAGGAUUCCCCUAGUAACUGCGAGUGAAGAGGGAAAAGCUCAAAUUUAAAAUCUGGCAGCUUCGCUGUCCGAGUUGUAAUUUAGAGAAGUGUUGCCCGCGCUGGACCGUGUACAAGUCUCCUGGAAUGGAGCGUCAUAGAGGGUGAGAAUCCCGUCUUUGACACGGACUCCCAGUGCAUUGUGGUACGCUCUCAAAGAGUCGUGUUGUUUGGGAAUGCAGCACUAAAUGGGUGGUAAAUUCCAUCUAAAGCUAAAUAUUGGCGAGAGACCGAUAGCAAACAAGUACCGUGAGGGAAAGAUGAAAAGAACUUUGGAAAGAGAGUUAAACAGUACGUGAAAUUGUUGAAAGGGAAACGCUUAAAGUCCAGUCGCGUCGGUUGGGAAUCAGUCUCGCUCUCUUGCUUGGCGUACUUCCCAGCUGACGGGUCAGCAUCAGUUUUGAUCGUUGGAUAAAGGUUGGAGGAAUGUGGCACCUUCGGGUGUGUUAUAGCCUCUGAUUGUAUACAACGGUUGGGA